GUAUGCCUGAGAUACACCCGGGCGCCCACUCCAGCUCCUACUUCUUCGGAUAGUGGGUCAUCUGGGGUACAGAUGCCGCCGCCUCACCUAUUCCUUCCGCAGAUGAUACCGGCCAUACCUGUAGUCGAUGACUCAGGGACGCCGAUUUAUCCACUGCCCCCGCCAGUGGCUCCAUCAGCGGCGUACCGGUUCGUGCCUUUUGAUACGCCUCUUAUUUCUGCGAGGGUAUCAUCAUCGGCGACAGAGACGGAAUCCGUCGCGUCCGCCGCGAGCGCCUCAGGUAAUCAGUGAUGCAUGAUUAUUUUUAAAGGGUCUCCGAUUUAAAUAAUCAAUUUGGUUUAUCAUGUGAUAGGCACCGUCGGAGCGAAGCCGACAAAGAAGAAGAGAGGCCCCGUCACAGGGAAGGCUCUCGAGAAGAUCGUGGGUACCGUGGGGAGGAUCGUCAUCAAUACUGACGGGGAGUGGCCACAUAGUAUCGGGCGGGAAGUCGAGGACGUACUCCGGCCGCGUGGGAGCGCUCAUUAGGGAUAGAGUCCCUAUGUUGUGGUCAGACUGGGGCGAGGUCCCGCAGGAGGUUAAGGACAUGGUCCACAACGCGAUGUCGGUGAGUUUACAAAAUAAUAUUAUGUAUUACAUUGUUGAUUUCUCGAAAAACUAAACUAAUAAACGGUUAAAUACAGGUGUGGUUUGAGGUUCCCGAGCACCUUAAGGACAGCUGGGCCGACGUUGUGCAUGGGGGAAGGUACGUUCGGAAGUUAAUGAAAAACAAAAUUGUAUGUGAUAUUAAUAAUAUUUCUAAUAUUUUUGUUGUGUCUGUAGGUACAAGGAGUGGAAGAACGAGUUGCGGACCCAUUGGACUACGCACGGGAACGCACGUUCUGGUACCCCUGCUGAGUUCCAGUACAGGGAGUACGAGUGGCGUUGGCUUCUGACAUCAGAAUUCAACAACCCUCGUAAACAGGUAUUUAAAAAAAUUAUUAGUUAAUUUGUCAUUAAGUACGU
rnacentral:lncRNA from 1 species